rnacentral:rRNA from 1 species
AACGAACGCUGGCGGCAGGCUUAACACAUGCAAGUCGAGCGCCCCGCAAGGGGAGCGGCAGACGGGUGAGUAACGCGUGGGAACCUACCCAUCUCUACGGAAUAACGCAUGGAAACGUGUGCUAAUACCGUAUACGUCCUUCGGGAGAAAGAUUUAUCGGAGAUGGAUGAGCCCGCGUUGGAUUAGCUAGUUGGUGGGGUAAAGGCCUACCAAGGCGACGAUCCAUAGCUGGUCUGAGAGGAUGAUCAGCCACACUGGGACUGAGACACGGCCCAGACUCCUACGGGAGGCAGCAGUGGGGAAUGUUGGACAAUGGGCGCAAGCCUGAUCCAGCCAUGCCGCGUGAGUGAUGAAGGCCCUAGGGUUGUAAAGCUCUUUCACCGGUGAAGAUAAUGACGGUAACCGGAGAAGAAGCCCCGGCUAACUUCGUGCCAGCCGCCGCAGUAAGAC